UACGGGAGGCAGCAGUGGGGAAUAUUGCACAAUGGGCGAAAGCCUGAUGCAGCUAUGCCGCGUGUAUGAAGAAGGCCUUAGGGUUGUAAAGUACUUUCAUCGGGGAGGAAAAAACAAAACUAAUAAUUUUAUUUCUUGACGUUACCCGAAAAAGAAGCACCGGCUAACUCCGUGCCAGCAGCCGCGGUAAUACGGAGGGUGCUAGCGUUAAUCAGAAUUACUGGGCGUAAAGAGCACGUAGGUGGUUUUUUUAAAGUCAGAUGUGAAAUCCCUGGGCUUUAACCUAGGAACUGCAUUUUGAAACUGAAAUACUAGAGUAUCGUAGAGGGAGGUAGAAUUCUAGGUGUAGCGGUGAAAUGCGUAGAUAUCUGGAGGAAUACCUGUGGCGAAAGCGGCCUCCUAAACGAAUACUGACACUGAGGUGCGAAAGCGUGGGGAGCAAACAGGGAUUAGAUACCCGU
rnacentral:rRNA from 1 species